CCCUGGGCUGGGCCACACCCACAAAACCCCACAACUACACAAAGAGGGCCCGUGAUUGACCCCAUUUCGCAGCAACCCCUUUGUGGGCAAAAUGUGACUCUUUCCAAGCUGGCCCUAAAUGGAGGGGUUCAGAUCCAGGUCUUUUCAUCAAGAGACCAAGUCUGUUUCUCAGUGCUUGAAUUUGGACUGCCUUCUUGAUUGCUUCAGCCAAUAGGAUGCAGCAGAUAUGACUGUUGUGCCAGUGCAAAACCUAGACCUCAAGAGGCAUUGAAUACUUCCACUCGCUUUCUUGGAACCUUGAUGCUACCAUGUGAACAAGCCCAGGCAAGUUUACUGGAAGGU